rnacentral:rRNA from 1 species
CUACGGGGGGCAGCAGCUAUGAAUUUUUUACAAUGCACGAAAGUGUGAUAGAGCGAACCAAAGUGUCUAUCUUUUUUGAUAGACUUUUGUCGACUGUAAAUAUGUCGAUGAAUAAGGACCGGGAAAGACUAGUGCCAGCCGCCGCGGUAAUACUAGCGGUUCAAGUUGCAACCAACAUUAUUGGGUCUAAAACAUCCGUAGCUUGUCUAAUAAGUUUCUUGUGAAAUUUGAUGUCUCAAGCAUCAAGCGUGCAAGAAAUACUAUUAGGCUAGAGAUCGGUAGACGUAAGGAGUAUGUUUGAGGUAGCGGUAAAAUGUGUUAAUCUCGAGCAGACUAACAAUGAGCGAAGGCACCUUACGAGGACGAAUCUGACAGUGAGGGAUGAAGGCCAGGGGCGCAAAACGGAUUAGAUACCCGCGUAGUC